UCCUGGUGGCUCAGACAGUAAAGCAUUUGCCUGCAAUGCGGGAGACCCAGGUUCGAUUCCUGGGUCAAGAA
rnacentral:tRNA from 1 species